rnacentral:rRNA from 1 species
GACGACCGCUGGCGGCGUGCCUAAUACAUGCAAGUAGAACGCUGAAGGCGGAGCUUGCUUCGCUGGAUGAGUUGCGAACGGGUGAGUAACGCGUAGGUAACCUGCCUGGUAGCGGGGGAUAACUUUUGGAAACGAUAGCUAAUACCGCAUAAUAGUAGCUGUUGCAUGACAUUUGUCUAAAAGUUUCAAUUGCAUCACUACCAGAUGGACCUGCGUUGUUUUUGCUUGUGGGUGGGGUAACGGCUCACCUAGGCGACGAUCCAUACCCGACCUGAGAGGGGGAGCGGCCACCCUGAGACGGAGACACGGCCCAUACGGCUUCGGGAGGGGGCCGGAGUGAUUCGGCGGCAAUGGGCGGAAGUCUUUCCGAGCUACGCCGCGUGAGGGAAGAAGGUCUUCGGGUCGUAAAGCUCGGUUGUAAGGGAAGAACGAGUGUUAGAGUGUAAAGUUCACACUGUGACGGUAUCGUGCCAGAAAGCGACGGCUAACUACGUG